GAUGAACGCUGGCGGCGUGCCUAAUACAUGCAAGUCGAGCGAACAGAUGAGGAGCUUGCUCCUCUGACGUUAGCGGCGGACGGGUGAGUAACACGUGGAUAACCUACCUAUAAGACUGGGAUAACUUCGGGAAACCGGAGCUAAUACCGGAUAAUAUAUUGAACCGCAUGGUUCAAUAGUGAAAGACGGUUUUGCUGUCACUUAUAGAUGGAUCCGCGCCGCAUUAGCUAGUUGGUAAGGUAACGGCUUACCAAGGCAACGAUGCGUAGCCGACCUGAGAGGGUGAUCGGCCACACUGGAACUGAGACACGGUCCAGACUCCUACGGGAGGCAGCAGUAGGGAAUCUUCCGCAAUGGGCGAAAGCCUGACGGAGCAACGCCGCGUGAGUGAUGAAGGUCUUCGGAUCGUAAAACUCUGUUAUUAGGGAAGAACAAAUGUGUAAGUAACUAUGCACGUCUUGACGGUACCUAUCAGAAAGCCACGGCUAACUACGUG
rnacentral:rRNA from 1 species